rnacentral:rRNA from 1 species
GGUUAAGCGACUAAGCGUACACGGUGGAUGCCCUGGCAGUCAGAGGCGAUGAAGGACGUGCUAAUCUGCGAUAAGCGUCGGUAAGGUGAUAUGAACCGUUAUAACCGGCGAUUUCCGAAUGGGGAAACCCAGUGUGUUUCGACACACUAUCAUUAACUGAAUCCAUAGGUUAAUGAGGCGAACCGGGGGAACUGAAACAUCUAAGUACCCCGAGGAAAAGAAAUCAACCGAGAUUCCCCCAGUAGCGGCGAGCGAACGGGGAGCAGCCCAGAGCCUGAAUCAGUGUGUGUGUUAGUGGAAGCGUCUGGAAAGGCGCGCGAUACAGGGUGACAGCCCCGUACACAAAAAUGCACAUAUUGUGAGCUCGAUGAGUAGGGCGGGACACGUGGUAUCCUGUCUGAAUAUGGGGGGACCAUCCUCCAAGGCUAAAUACUCCUGACUGACCGAUAGUGAACCAGUACCGUGAGGGAAAGGCGAAAAGAACCCCGGCGAGGGGAGUGAAAAAGAACCUGAAACCGUGUACGUACAAGCAGUGGGAGCACGCUUAGGCGUGUGACUGCGUACCUUUUGUAUAAUGGGUCAGCGACUUAUAUUCUGUAGCAAGGUUAACCGAAUAGGGGAGCCGAAGGGAAACCGAGUCUUAACUGGGCGUUAAGUUGCAGGGUAUAGACCCGAAACCCGGUGAUCUAGCCAUGGGCAGGUUGAAGGUUGGGUAACACUAACUGGAGGACCGAACCGACUAAUGUUGAAAAAUUAGCGGAUGACUUGUGGCUGGGGGUGAAAGGCCAAUCAAACCGGGAGAUAGCUGGUUCUCCCCGAAAGCUAUUUAGGUAGCGCCUCGUGAACUCAUCUCCGGGGGUAGAGCACUGUUUCGGCAAGGGGGUCAUCCCGACUUACCAACCCGAUGCAAACUGCGAAUACCGGAGAAUGUUAUCACGGGAGACACACGGCGGGUGCUAACGUCCGUCGUGAAGAGGGAAACAACCCAGACCGCCAGCUAAGGUCCCAAAGUCAUGGUUAAGUGGGAAACGAUGUGGGAAGGCCCAGACAGCCAGGAUGUUGGCUUAGAAGCAGCCAUCAUUUAAAGAAAGCGUAAUAGCUCACUGGUCGAGUCGGCCUGCGCGGAAGAUGUAACGGGGCUAAACCAUGCACCGAAGCUGCGGCAGCGACACUAUGUGUUGUUGGGUAGGGGAGCGUUCUGUAAGCCUGUGAAGGUGUGCUGUGAGGCAUGCUGGAGGUAUCAGAAGUGCGAAUGCUGACAUAAGUAACGAUAAAGCGGGUGAAAAGCCCGCUCGCCGGAAGACCAAGGGUUCCUGUCCAACGUUAAUCGGGGCAGGGUGAGUCGACCCCUAAGGCGAGGCCGAAAGGCGUAGUCGAUGGGAAACAGGUUAAUAUUCCUGUACUUGGUGUUACUGCGAAGGGGGGACGGAGAAGGCUAUGUUGGCCGGGCGACGGUUGUCCCGGUUUAAGCGUGUAGGCUGGUUUUCCAGGCAAAUCCGGAAAAUCAAGGCUGAGGCGUGAUGACGAGGCACUACGGUGCUGAAGCAACAAAUGCCCUGCUUCCAGGAAAAGCCUCUAAGCAUCAGGUAACAUCAAAUCGUACCCCAAACCGACACAGGUGGUCAGGUAGAGAAUACCAAGGCGCUUGAGAGAACUCGGGUGAAGGAACUAGGCAAAAUGGUGCCGUAACUUCGGGAGAAGGCACGCUGAUAUGUAGGUGAAGUCCCUCGCGGAUGGAGCUGAAAUCAGUCGAAGAUACCAGCUGGCUGCAACUGUUUAUUAAAAACACAGCACUGUGCAAACACGAAAGUGGACGUAUACGGUGUGACGCCUGCCCGGUGCCGGAAGGUUAAUUGAUGGGGUCAGCGCAAGCGAAGCUCUUGAUCGAAGCCCCGGUAAACGGCGGCCGUAACUAUAACGGUCCUAAGGUAGCGAAAUUCCUUGUCGGGUAAGUUCCGACCUGCACGAAUGGCGUAAUGAUGGCCAGGCUGUCUCCACCCGAGACUCAGUGAAAUUGAACUCGCUGUGAAGAUGCAGUGUACCCGCGGCAAGACGGAAAGACCCCGUGAACCUUUACUAUAGCUUGACACUGAACAUUGAGCCUUGAUGUGUAGGAUAGGUGGGAGGCUUAGAAGUGUGGACGCCAGUCUGCAUGGAGCCGACCUUGAAAUACCACCCUUUAAUGUUUGAUGUUCUAACGUUGACCCGUAAUCCGGGUUGCGGACAGUGUCUGGUGGGUAGUUUGACUGGGGCGGUCUCCUCCUAAAGAGUAACGGAGGAGCACGAAGGUUGGCUAAUCCUGGUCGGACAUCAGGAGGUUAGUGCAAUGGCAUAAGCCAGCUUGACUGCGAGCGUGACGGCGCGAGCAGGUGCGAAAGCAGGUCAUAGUGAUCCGGUGGUUCUGAAUGGAAGGGCCAUCGCUCAACGGAUAAAAGGUACUCCGGGGAUAACAGGCUGAUACCGCCCAAGAGUUCAUAUCGACGGCGGUGUUUGGCACCUCGAUGUCGGCUCAUCACAUCCUGGGGCUGAAGUAGGUCCCAAGGGUAUGGCUGUUCGCCAUUUAAAGUGGUACGCGAGCUGGGUUUAGAACGUCGUGAGACAGUUCGGUCCCUAUCUGCCGUGGGCGCUGGAGAACUGAGGGGGGCUGCUCCUAGUACGAGAGGACCGGAGUGGACGCAUCACUGGUGUUCGGGUUGUCAUGCCAAUGGCACUGCCCGGUAGCUAAAUGCGGAAGAGAUAAGUGCUGAAAGCAUCUAAGCACGAAACUUGCCCCGAGAUGAGUUCUCCCUGACCCUUUAAGGGUCCUGAAGGAACGUUGAAGACGACGACGUUGAUAGGCCGGGUGUGUAAGCGCAGCGAUGCGUUGAGCUAACCGGUACUAAUGAACCGUGAGGCUUAACCUU